GACGAACGCUGGCGGCGUGCUUAACACAUGCAAGUCGAACGGAAAGGCCCUGCUUUUGUGGGGUGCUCGAGUGGCGAACGGGUGAGUAACACGUGAGUAACCUGCCCUUGCCUUUGGGAUAACUUCAGGAAACUGGGGCUAAUACCGGAUAGGAGCUCCUGCUGCAUGGUGGGGGUUGGAAAGUUUCGGCGGUUGGGGCUGGACUCGCGGCUUAUCAGCUUGUUGGUGGGGUAGUGGCUUACCAAGGCUUGGACGGGUAGCCGGCCUGAGAGGGUGACCGGCCACGUUGGGACUGAGAUACGGCCCAGCCUCCUACGGUAGGCAGCAGUGGGGAAUAGUGCACUAUGGGCGGAAGGCUGAUGCAGCAACGCCGCGUGCGGUGUGACGGCCUUCGGGUUGUAAACCGCUGUCGCCUGUGACGAAGCGUGAGUGACGGUAAUGGGUAAAGAAGCACCGGCUAACUACGUG
rnacentral:rRNA from 1 species